AUGGGUAGCAAAGCAGAAGAAUCGCUGCCUUGUAGAGCAGCACUGAGGAGUAAAUUCGAUGGCGAGGGCUUGCCAUGUGCUGCUCGCAAACCACUGCAAUUCAACUUAAAUAAAGCAGCUAUUCAAGGGAGAGGUUUGAAUGGGAGAUGGGGAGGUGUGGGCCCAACCCCAGGAAGAAGAGACUGGAGGAUGACUGCUCUGAAGCAACAGGCAUGUGGGGCCCGGGUGGCAAAAGAACAGGGUGUUCCAUGUGUAUUCAUUUUCUAUUGCUGCAUAACAAAUUACCACAAACAGUGA
rnacentral:lncRNA from 1 species